rnacentral:rRNA from 1 species
UACAGAGGCCUCGAGCGUUAGGCGGAAUCACUGGGCUUAAAGCGUGUGUAGGUGGAUGCCUAAGUACCUUGUGAAAUCCCACGGCUUAACCGUGGAACUGCUUGGUAUACUGGGUGUCUUGAGCCACUCAGGGGCUACCGGAACAAAUGGUGGAGCGGUGAAAUGCGUAGAUAUCAUUUGGAACGCCAAUGGUGAAAACAGGUAGCUGGGGGUGUGCUGACACUGAGACACGAGAGCCAGGGGAGCAAACGGG